AGGGUUUCUUCAUCUGCACGCUGCUUUCUGGGUGCACAGCUCUGUGACAGACCACAGUUGAGCUUCCAAGGAGCUCCAAAAAAGAGAGGAGUCUGGAGAUCCUUAUUAGAAAUUGCAGCGUUUUGAGUAUCAUAAUUUCAUGCCGCCUUCUAUAACACAUGUGGCUUAAGAGCUAAAGAACGGAAUUGACUGUAUAUGCGUGGAGAGUCAGCCCUAUGGAGUACGUAAGAGCCAUCUUGGUUUGACCACAUGAUCAGGAAUGACACGGAUUUGAGGUUCCAAUUAAAACCGUGUUUGGGCCAUUGCUUUGCCUGCCUGUGCUUAAUCUUUCCCGAAAGCCUCAUCACUUAUCUAAAACAAAAGAAGAACGAGAAUCCUGCAGGAACAGCACCACUGAAAGAAACGCUGCUGAACUUAUCAGAUCUGUGCUGCAUGACUGUAAAUCAGCCUUAAAGGAAGAGAGGGGCCUGAACCAAGUAAACUGA